CUGGUUCUGUGUGAGAUGGACCCCAAGAUAUUGAACCCAGCCCUGGUUACUGCCAGGCCUACCCGGCAGAAGUGUUACAUAUGUUAUUGAUCAAGCCAAAACGCAGCUUCCUUGCAGAACCAGUUUUUAUGAAUAUAGAAAGGAGCCUACCAGUCCUUAUGAAUAACCUGCAUUCUUCCACUGGACCCUUGGACUGAAUUCCUGUUUACUUUGUAGAGAAUGUGAGAGACUUGUAGUCUGCCAAAAGCCGUUAAGACAAUAAAAACACAGCCAAAGGCUGUCACAAGUGUGGAAGUCACAGAGAAAGUUAAUGUGUUAACUUCAAGGACGACAGAGAGAGAUUUGCCAAACCAAAUAGGAGACUGGAGUUUGGUUUAUGUAUCAUGUAUAUAAUUUUAAUUCAAAUGACAUAUUUUCAAGCACUUUCCCCCAAAAAAAGUUAUUUGGCUUUUUUCUUUGUUUAUAAUCAUGAAGAGGAAGUUUCCUUCCUUAAAUCUGUCCUUUUCCAUUUGGCGAAGGUAAGUAUUUUCUCUAGUCCAGUCUUUCUUAUACAGAGCACCAGCCAGCAUAGCUGCAUUUUAGACUCAUCCAACAACAUUUUGAUGAAGUCAUUUUACAACAAAGCUGAGAGAGAAUUCUGUGCUUCCUGUGCUGACUCUGUAGCAGUUCAAUACAACAGUGUCUCUUCAGCAUGAUGGAGUCAUGGAGGAACCAGGCUUUGAUGUGAAGAUUUGCUGAAUUCGGGUGCAGUGUCUGAUUGUGGUUUUGCGAUAAGUAAUCUGUGUGGUGCAGUAGUGAAUGAAGAUUGCAGACUGCCAGUCACGUGAGGUAUAGCUAAGCACGACUCAGGUUUCACUAUAUAAACUGGAAUCCAAGAAGGAGACCAGCUAGAAGAGCAAAAGAGAAAGGAAGGAAGGAAGGACAAGAAGAACUCACCUCCAAGACACAGCCUAAGACCAGAGCUGCCAGGGUUCUUCUGCACGACCAUUUCAUGCAGCAGCUAAGGUCCAGAGAGACUGACCUUGCCUGGCCAACCGGGGAAGUCUGCCUGCCAGUAUUAGGAUUGGCAAAAAAGAGCGAAUACGAGAAGUUCCAUCUGCUGCCGAGGAUAAUAGAGAAGGAACUGAGGGAGUCACACUGCGCAUGCAGUCAAUAAGCUCCAAUAGCACCACAAGACACCUUCUGUGCAUGUGUGGUGUGGCAGGCACUGCUGCAACAAAUCUGAUCACCAGCAUGAGGAUGCACCAACAUCUAAAGUAGAUCAACCACAGGGACAGCACUCGAAGAAAAUAAGUUUACAUAAGCAAGGAGAUGUGAAAAACAGAAAGGCUGUGUCUACACUGGCACCCUU